GAUGAACGCUGGCGGCGUGCCUAACACAUGCAAGUCGAACGGAGUCCAGCCUUAGAGACCUUCGGGUCAAAGAGGGGAAGACUGAGUGGCGGACGGGUGAGUAACACGUGGGCAACCUGGCUCAUAGAGGGGGAUAACAGAGAGAAAUUUCUGCUAAUACCGCAUAAGCACACACUGCCGCAUGGCAGAGUGUGAAAAGAGAAUCGCUAUGAGAUGGACCCGCGUCUGAUUAGCCAGUUGGCAGGGUAAGAGCCUACCAAAGCGACGAUCAGUAGCCGAUUUGAGAGGAUGAACGGCCACAUUGGGACUGAGACACGGCCCAAACUCCUACGGGAGGCAGCAGUGGGGGAUAUUGCACAAUGGGGGGAACCCUGAUGCAGCGACGCCGCGUGAGUGAAGAAGUAUUUCGGUAUGUAAAGCUCUAUCAGCAGGGAAGAUAAUGACAGUACCUGAAUAAGAAGCCCCGGCUAACUACGU
rnacentral:rRNA from 1 species